GGAAUACGUCCCAACACAUCGCAGCAGAUCGCAAAAUCCCGAUCGAAUCGCUCCCUAUUUUGCUAUUUUUACUAUCUAAAAAUGAGUUUCGCCGCAUUUAGAAGUGUCUCAUGCUCAUAGUCAGUGUCAUAAUGUAAACCUCGUGUAUGAUUAGUUGUCGUAAAUUAUCGGUGCCGCGAUUUCGAAUUCCCCGAAUCUGGCGAUCGGAACCUCUCGCCUUCGCGCAUAUUUCGCGUCAAAGUGCAACAAGAAAGCGAUUAAUGAACGAUCGUAAUCAGGAAUGAAGAGAACGCUUAGGCUUCGAGCAUAAGCAUUGUCCCUGGUUUUCCCUCUCUAAUACUCGCCUGGUGUUCUUAAUUAGGGGGAUUUGCGUUAGGAAGACGGGAGCUUUUCGAGACGCCCGUUAUUGCCUCGUUAAAGGGAAUUGGACGGAAUGCAAACAUCUACGCCCUUCAUAUAAGCUGUAUGUUCCUCAUUAUUUCAUAUGACGCCGCUUGGAGGUGCGCAAUUAUCGAUUAACGAGAUACACCUGUGUGCGAGAGACAUACGCUACGUUUGCGAAACAACAAGUUACAUUUACAAUAAGGUUAUUACGUGGUGCACGCUGCUGAAACUCGAAUCGGGGCAUUAAUCCGAUAGAGGAAUGCACGGACGCGUUCGGAUUACCGUUGAUCAAAAGAACGAAGGUAGAGAACCAUGGAUUUUGAUGAUACAACGGACAAAAGAGAGGAGGACUAAUUUCGUUGUGACUUGAAAUUUUCUGACAUGCCACAGUGAACAAGCGGUAUGUCAGACUUAUUAUUAUAGCGCCGAGAGCCACAUCUUCUAAGGCGUGGUCCUGUAUAGUUGCAUUCGUAAUCUGAUAAAGAUUCCCGAAGCACGCUUCCGGGCCUAAUGAAUCCAUGUUAUAUGUUAAUAAGCAACUGGCUUUAGACGUCAAAGGGUUUAGAGGCAAUUAAAUUGAUUUAUAUAUA